UACAGAGGUCUCAAGCGUUGUUCGGAUUCAUUGGGCGUAAAGGGCGCGUAGGCGGCGAGGUAAGUCGGGUGUGAAAUCUCAGAGCUCAACUCUGAAACUGCACUCGAUACUGCUUUGCUAGAGGACUGGAGAGGAGAUUGGAAUUCACGUUGUAGCGGUGAAAUGCGUAGAUAUCGUAAGGAAGACCAGUGGCGAAGGCGGGUCUCUGGACAGUUCCUGACGCUGAGGCACGAAGGCCAGGGGAGCAAACGGG
rnacentral:rRNA from 1 species